GAGCGAGGAAGGGGGAGCGAUUGGAGAUGAAGGAAGGAAGGAAUGAAGGAAGGAAGAUGGCCCUAACGGAGCGGUGGACGAGAGGUAUAGCCGCCCUUGAGUCAAGAUUGCAGUGCUCUACAACUGGUUCGCCGACUAGAACUACCUUUUUCUCGGUCUCUCCUCCUCCCUCUUCCUCCCUCCCUCCAUUCUUUCUUUUCCUUCUUUUUCUGUGCGUUUCUUGGUCCUCCUAGGGUUUUGAUUCUUGGUCCUCCCAGGGGUUUGAGUCUUGGUACUCCUAGGGUUUUGGUUCUUGUUUCACUUGUUGUAUUGACUUCGUACGGUGGAAAUUAUAGGUUUAUUGCUCCGGCUAGGGUUUUCUUGGACUCUUGGAGGGUUCUAGCUUCUCGGGUCUUGAUUCUUUAUUCUUUUCUUUUGUUUCUUGAUUUAUCAUCUUGAUUCGACGGGUUUUUCUAUGAAGAAAACAAUCGGAAAGGGAAAUGAUGCAGGAUUGGUGGCUUUAUCCGAGUAGAUGGUGGAGAAAGAGAUGAUAUUGAUGCAGUCACGGUCAGCAUUAUGGGUACCAUGAAUCAAGCGUCGUUCUUGCUGCUUGUUUUUUUUUCCUUUAUUUUCCCUUUAUUUUCUUGUAUUUUACGGGCUUGAUUUAAAUUAAGUGAAAAUUUGUCAAGAAAAGGCAAGCAAGCUUUUCAUUUUUUUUGCUGGGAAAAAGCAAGCUUUCCUUUCUAAUUUUCAUUCUGCAUGUGGGAAUAUAAUGCAACAUUGGUAGCCAAAUAUGAGGAAAAUCUUUAGCCAAGUAUGGGCCAGAGGGCGAUUCGAAGGGAUGGUCAAGUAUGUCACUGUUGGAUUUCAUGUGGAGCAUUCGCAAGAAAAGAAUAAAUAAGAUUGAUUACACUUAGCAAAGUUCAGAUACCUUAUCAUCUUUCUUUGUUUUUUUUUUAAAUUUAAUUUUGCAUGGGACAACGAAAAAGCUGACAGUGACAGUUAAGAUAGCCUAUAACAUUAAUCACAGUGUAGGAUGAGGGCUCUCUCUUUCCAUGUCGAAUCUGUGUCCGUUCGGUAGACUUGUGCAUGCCCACCCUGAUCACCAUAUGGUGCCAAAUGCUGUUUCACCAUGAUGUUGCAUUUUCUAAUGGCAACAGUUUGAUUUAAUUCACCAAGAAGGUGAGAGUCUUUUAUAGCUGUGAGCUCAGGCCAGAAAAGACCAGUUCACUGAUUUCAUUUGAAGGAAAUUUGCUUCGGCUAACUAUUUUUGUUUCUAAAGCAACUUUUGAGCCUGGUACUGUAGGCACAACAAUUUUAAUGUGCUGGUAUUGGAUUGCUUUUGUUUUUUGAUUGCUUGUUUGUUUAUUAGUGAUUUGAGGCUUCAACCUCAGUUGUGACAAUUUUGUUGAUUAAUUAUUCUUUUCGAGGUCAUUAGGUUUUUCUUCCUGUAGGCAUGUGCUUUAGACAUUAGAACUGUCUUCUGUUCUCUGAUUUUAUAGGAGUCACUCAGCACAGUCAUGUCUCCUUUGGCAUUACCUCAUGCUACCCAUAGUUGAAGGAUUUCUGGUGCAUUAUUAUGGGUGCAAGAUGGUCAUGGCAUGGGGUGUAACUCUUUGCUUUGUGGCAGAGAGUUAUUAUGCUCCCCCAUGAGCUGCAGAGACUUCUUUAUGCGUGUUCUUUUGUGCGUGUUGCAGGAGGUGUGGCACUGCCCCAUAUCCAAAGAACGGUCAUAAGAUAUAUUUUGUACACCUCAGGCAUACUUCCAUGGAUCAUGUUCGCAACUUGAGGAUAUGUUGCUGGUGCUGUAGUACAAGUGUUACUUCCACUCAAGUCCUGCAGCAUUUUUUUGAGUUAAUCAAAUCAUUAUCAACAAAUAAAAACAUGCAAUGUAGCCUUACUACUUAUACUUUUUUUCUUAGUCUAUUUCAUCCGAAACUAUUAUUAUGAAUUGUAUCAGUGGUUUUCAUAUGGGAACGUAAUUUUUAAUGCUUUUCCUAUUGGAAGGAGAGUUUCUUAUUAAAAAAUCACAAUGCGAUUUUAAUUUA